GCUGCCCGCCUCAGAGCGCUGCCCGCCUCAGAGCGCUGCCCGCCUCAGAGCGCUGCCCGCCUGGGCAGUGCCUGCAGAAGGAGUCCCCUGGCGCUGCGGAGGACAAGCUCCUGAGGGCCCGGCCCGGCCGGCGCCACCGUAAGCACGGCCUUUAUGCAGCUUGAUUGGCCUUAAGGAGCUUCGGACCUCUUUGGAAAGAGAGCAGCGGAGGAGCCUCUGGAGCCUUUAUGCAGCUUGAUUGGCCUUAAGGAGCUUCGGACCUCUUUGGAAAGAGAGCAGCGGAGGAGCCUCUGGAGCGCCAGCUGCAUCACCUUUGACUGCCAGUAAACUCUCAGCAGUGCGCCUGACAGAACAUCACCUUCAGGUUCCUCCUGACGCUCAGCUAUAUUCAGGUCAGAAAUCCUGUCUACCAUUGUUAAAAAGCAAGUGAAAGCCAACCCUGCAGAGAGUUCAUCUCAGAAGAAACACUGGUUCUUGUAUGCAAGUAAACCAAGACUGCCUGCUCAUGAACCCCAGCAGUUGUAAAGGGCUGAUGUCAACUACUUCAUUCUGUUCUAACGUCUUCAUGCUGAAGGAAAAAGUGAUCUCUAAGACUGACAGGCAAAACAGAGAUGUAUUUCCCCCUAGUUCAACAUUUUGCACAUAGAAUAUAGACUGUACCUGUUACAAAGUGCUAAGAGAAAUUAAUGAGAUGCAGAG